AUGAAUCCACAUUUACUAACAUCCCCUUCUAACAAUGUCCAAAAACAGUCUGCACCAAUCUACCUCUCAGAGAUCGCACCACCCAAGUGGCGCGGCGCAUUCAGCACAGGCUUCAGUUCUGCAUCGGAAUCAGGGUGGUGGCCUCCAACUGCAUAAACUACGCCACCUCGAAGCACAGCUGGGGUUGGCGCCUCUCCCUCGGCCUAGCCAUAGUCCCAGCCACCAUCAUGACCACCGGCGCCCUCUUCAUCUCAGACUCACGCACAAGCUUAGUGCAACGCAACAGACUAGACCAAGCCAGAAAGUCUCUCAUCAAAAUCCGAGGCAAGGAGGAUAUCGAAGCAGAACUUGCCCAGCUCGUUAAGGCCAGCGAGAUCGCCAAAGCUCUCAACGAGGAGCCAUUUGUGACCAUAUUUCAGAGGCAGUACAGGCCUCAGCUUGUGAUCGGGGCCAUUGCCGUGCCGUUUUUUCAGCAGCUCACUGGCAUUAAUAUCAUUGCUUUCUAUGCGCCUGUGUUGUUUCAGUCUGUAGGGUUUGGCAACGACUCUGCUCUCAUUGCGUCUAUUAUUCUUGGGUUGGUUAAUCUUGGCUCGAUCCUUGUGUCGACGUACAUGGUUGAUCGUCAUGGCCGGAGGUUUUUGUUCAUGGGGGGUCGCAUCCAAAUGGUCAUCUGUCAGGUUGCGGUGGCUAUUGUUCUAGCAGCUACAACAGGUACCGAUGGCAACGGGCACAUCUCAAAGGGCUAUGCCAUACUAGUUCGGGUCUUGAUGUGUUUAUAUGCUGCUGGUUUUGGUUGGUCAUGGGGUCCUUUGAGUUGGCUUAUACCAAGUGAGAUUUUCCCCAUGAAAAUUCGACCCACAGGCCAAAGCAUGGGGCUUGCUGUCAACUUUGGUGUUACAUUUGUGCUAUCCCAAACCUUUUUGUCCAUGCUAUGCCAUUUAAAAUAUGCCACAUUCUUGUUCUACGGCGGUUGGAUUCUGGCAAUGACCGUCUUCGUCGUGCUUUUCUUGCCAGAGACGAAAGGAAUCCCAUUGGAUCAAGUGCAUACGGUGUGGGUGAAGCAUUGGUACUGGCGUCGAUUUGUUCAAGGUGACCUUAAGGAUACCAUUGAUGAAAAAGAGUAAUGAUAGGGAUGUCAAAACAAAUCCCAAAAUUCCAUAUCCGAAAUGAUGCAUAGUGUUUCAUUACGGUGCCACUUUAAAGUUUAUUGUUUCUAGUAGGUAAGAUAUCGGCAUGCCAUAUAUCUAUUUGGCGACUUAAAUUUGGGACAGUUUUUGAUGA